UGCUGUUCUUGAGUAUAGUUGAAGUGGGCGGAAUGUGUCAUGUAGCGGUGAAAUGCUUAGAUAUGACACAGAACACCGAUAGCGAAGGCAGCUCACUAAGCUGUAACUGACGCUCAUGCACGAAAGCGUGGGGAUCAAACAGGAUUAGAUACCCUGGUAGUCCACGCUGUAAACGAUGAUCACUCGUUGUUGGCGAUAUACUGUCAGCGACUGAGCGAAAGCAUUAAGUGAUCCACCUGGGGAGUACGGCGGCAACGUUGAAACUCAAAGGAAUUGACGGGGGCCCGCACAAGCGGAGGAGCAUGUGGUUUAAUUCGAUGAUACGCGAGGAACCUUACCUGGGCUUAAAUGUAGGACGACGUUUCGUGAAAGCGGAAUUUCCUUAGGGACGGCCUACAAGGUGCUGCAUGGUUGUCGUCAGCUCGUGCCGUGAGGUGUCGGGUUAAGUCCCAUAACGAGCGCAACCCUUAUUCUUAGUUGCCAUCAGGUAAUGCUGGGAACUCUAAGAAAACUGCCUACGCAAGUAGUGAGGAAGGUGGGGAUGACGUCAAAUCAGCACGGCCCUUAUGUCCAGGGCGACACACGUGCUACAAUGGUCGGUACAGAGGGAUGCUACCUGGUGACAGGAUGCUAAUCUCAAAAGCCGAUCUCAGUUCGGAUCGAAGUCUGCAACUCGACUUCGUGAAGUUGGAUUCGCUAGUAAUCGCGCAUCAGCCAUGGCGCGGUGAAUACGUUCCCGGGCCUUGUACACACCGCCCGU
rnacentral:rRNA from 1 species